ACCAAUGAGGUGCUCAAGGGAGUUUCCUGUGUUUCAGGAUUCAAGGGCAGAUAUCAUCCAAUGACAUUCUCUUGCAAUGGAAGCUAUGUGGUGGGAGACCCUUGGCUUGCAGCUGUUGGCAGUCUAUACAGGUCUUUGCCAUGCUCUCACAGUGACCCAGAAGGAACGCUUCAAAACCAUCCAAACAGGGACCCAGACAAGUGUCACCUGCGAAUAUGAUGAUAGCAACUACAAGAGUGUCUUUUGGUAUCGCCAGGAGAGCAACGAUGGAGAGAAGGCGCUGCAGCUUCUUGGCUACUCCAUAUCAGGAAGUGACCCGAGGAUGGAAAACAAGGAAUACCAAAUAACUAGAAAAGCAGUGACUCAUUCUUCCCUUAUCAUCCCUCCAGAGGAGGCUUCAAAGCCUGCAGUAUAUUUCUGUGCAGUCCGUGACACACAGUGAGAGCUCCGGGUCUCCCAGCUGCACACAAACUGCCUAGCGCUGUUUCAUUACCUGUCUGUGUCAUACAGAUUGCUGCCCUGGCUGUUCACACAGACCAACCUCACCCAUCCACACAGGAAUGAACGCAGCAGUGGUUGCCUCUGAAGGAUGGUUUUACUCAUCGCUUUCUGUGGUCCUAUUUUCAGUUGGUGGAUGUUUCAGCUUUGGGAAAUGAGCCAUUUAUUUAUUUUUAAUUUGCAAAAUGUCAGUACUGCCCCAGUCCCAAGACGCUGGGCAGAUUACGAAGAUAAAAGAGGGUACAAGAAUGUAUCUAAAGCUACUUAUGACCAGACUGGGGCCAUUGGUAGUUUCCCACAAUUCCAAGCUGGAAUGAGAGUUUUCCAAGUCAGAGCCUUAGAAAUGAGUUAUGGUCUUGCAAAAGAUAUAUUCUGUGAGUUGGCCAGAAAAACACAGAUCUCUAAUAGCUAUGCCACACCAAAGCAGGGGCUCUGUAUUGUCUGUCAUUCAAAGACUCUAAUGCUAAGCAUUUGAAUUCCCUUCUCUGCCUUAAGAAAGCGUGAUGGCAAUGUUCAGAAUAGCCUGAUUAGGGUUGGGACCAUUGUCAGCAUUUAGGUGGCAUUGCUUGGACUUCCUUCAAGCCACUCAUUCUUCUGUUUCACCAUCACACCUCCAAGC